rnacentral:lncRNA from 1 species
CAAAGACCAAUCUGAUCCCGGGCGAGACUAGACUUUGUCACAACCUUCAACAGAAAGCCCCAAUAGUAUUUUAAAAAUUCACCUUCAAAUUCAUGGAACUGAGAAAUAUUUACAUCAUUUCGUCGCUUAUUGAUGUUUCUAUUCAUCAAUGUUCCUCAUACAGUAUAAAAACCAGCAGUGGUCCAAGGAGGAAGCUUGGGUGCUUAUUGAGACCUUGCUGGCUUUGAUGAAGCUACUGCCAUGUUGGAGAGGUGUACAUGGCAAGGUGUAUCUGGCAGCCUCCAGAUAGAGAGAAACUGAGACCCUCAUUCCAAGAACCCAGGAAGAACUGAAUCCUGCCAACUACCACAUGAGUGACCUGCGAAGCUUGUCCUUCCCAAGUUGAGCUGUGAGAUGACUACGGACCCAGCUGACACCUUGAUUGCAGCUUGUGAGAGGGCUUGAAGCAGAGCACCUCAUUAAGCUGUGUCUGGAUUCUUGGCCCACCAAAACUGGGAGCUAAUUAAUGUUGCUUUAAGCCAUUAAUUUUUGGGGUAAUUUGUUAUGCAGUAAUAGACAACUAAUACACAAAAGCUACAAGGAUCAUGUUUUAAUCUAUACUAGUUGAUCUAACUAUAUACUGACAAUAGGUGAAUUAUAUGGCAUGUGAAUUAUACCUCAAU